CCUACGGGUGGCAGCAGUGGGGAAUAUUGGGCAAUGGGCGCAAGCCUGACCCAGCAACGCCGCGUGAAGGAUGAAGGCUUUCGGGUUGUAAACUUCUUUUCUCAGGGACGAAGAAAGUGACGGUACCUGAGGAAUAAGCCACGGCUAACUACGGGCCAGCAGCCACGGGAAUACGUAGGUGGCAAGCGUUAUCCGGAUUUAUUGGGUGUCAAGGGCGUGUAGGCGGGAGCGCAAGUCAGAUGGGAAAACUCAGGGCUCAACCCUGAGCGUGCAUUUGAAACUGUGUUUCUUGAGUGCUGGAGAGGCAAUCGGAAUGCGGGGUGUAGCGGUGAAAUGCGUAGAUAUCAGGAGGAACACCGGUGGCGAAGGCGGAUGGCUGGACAGUAACUGACGCUGAGGCGCGAAAGCGUGGGGAGCAAACAGGAUUAGAUACCCGUGUAGUC
rnacentral:rRNA from 1 species